rnacentral:lncRNA from 1 species
CCCAACCCUUCUCUUUCUCCUCUUCUUCUCAGGUAUUGGUAGCUAUGAAUGUACUGCAAAAGAAAAAAUACUGUUGAAAAAACCACCGCCAGCCCUCCAUCUAAUUUUUCUUUUCUCAUAUCUUUUUCUUUCUAUCUAAAGAUUUCACCAAAUCAAGCUCUAUCACAUUUUAUUUUGAAACAAAAUCGAAACUCUCCCUUCUUUUCUCUCACCUUUCCACAACGUUGUCG